rnacentral:rRNA from 1 species
AACGAACGUUGGCGGCGUGGAUUAGGCAUGCAAGUCGAACGAGAAAGGUUUCGCAAGAGACCAAGUAAAGUGGCGGAAGGGUGAGUAAUGCAUAGACAACUUACCCCUGAGAUGGGGAUAACUAUCCGAAAGGGUAUCUAAUACCCAAUGAGACCACGGAUCGCAUGAUCUGUGUUUAAAGAUAGGGACCCGCAAGGGCCUGUCACUCAGGGGAGAGGUUUAUGUCCUAUUAGCAGUUGGUGAGGUAAUGGCUCACCAAGGCGACGAUGGGUAGCCGACCUGAGAGGGUNACCGGCACACUGGGACUGAGACACUGCCCAGACUCCUAGGGAGGCUGCAGUCGAGAAUCUUCCGCAAUGCGCG